AAUUAAUCUUAUUAAAAUAAGUAAUUCAAGUGCAAAGAAAAAAUUGGGUUUAACCGUGCUAGUAAGGUCACCCUGAACCUAAUAGGAUUUCUCAAAAUCUAAUUGAGACUUCAUAAGCCCAAUUGCUUAUUCCAGAUCUAAUCCCUUUAUUGUGUGACCCUAUAGAUUCUAUUCUAGUUGGUAGUGAAAUAUACAAUGAUCUCUAUCAUAGUAUCAUUAAAACUCUUUUCAAUGGGUCAGAAUGAUUCCACUCUAACUCAUCAAGGAUUAUCGAUUUUGAGCAAUCUUAGUGAGCUCUCACAAUCCACCAAUGACAUUUAGUAGUAUGUUAGCAACCCAGC
rnacentral:lncRNA from 1 species